CGGAUAGGUCGAAGAGUCGCAAUCGUAACACUCAAAACCUACAUGAAUAUGGUUACUGUAUAAUUCAUCCUUUUGACCCCUGUGUUUAGGAUGACUCAGGAUUAAACUGUCAACCCUGAUCAGAUCAUCCGAAUCGUGCUCAACUCAAACAGUCCUGUGACUCCUCACAAGGACUACCCUGGUCAAGAUUUUGCUAAAUUGAAACACAACUAUACACAACUCCUAAACUGGAGUGGUCAAUCCCAUCUUGACACACGCACCGACAAGUCAAGUACUUGACUACACCCAGCAACCUUCCAUCACUGAAUUAAAAAUUCAGGUAGUCCAGUGCCUAAGUGCAGUGAGUUGCUUGCAAGUCAUCAUGGCGGUCUC
rnacentral:lncRNA from 1 species